AGAUUGAACGCUGGCGGCAGGCCUAACACAUGCAAGUCGAACGGUAACAGGAAGAAGCUUGCUUCUUUGCUGACGAGUGGCGGACGGGUGAGUAAUGUCUGGGAAACUGCCUGAUGGAGGGGGAUAACUACUGGAAACGGUAGCUAAUACCGCAUAAUGUCGCAAGACCAAAGAGGGGGACCUUCGGGCCUCUUGCCAUCGGAUGUGCCCAGAUGGGAUUAGCUAGUAGGUGGGGUAACGGCUCACCUAGGCGACGAUCCCUAGCUGGUCUGAGAGGAUGACCAGCCACACUGGAACUGAGACACGGUCCAGACUCCUACGGGAGGCAGCAGUGGGGAAUAUUGCACAAUGGGCGCAAGCCUGAUGCAGCCAUGCCGCGUGUAUGAAGAAGGCCUUCGGGUUGUAAAGUACUUUCAGCGGGGAGGAAGGGAGUAAAGUUAAUACCUUUGCUCAUUGACGUUACCCGCAGAAGAAGCGCCGGCUAACUCCGUGCCAGCAGCCGCGGUAAUACGGAGGGUGCAAGCGUUAAUCGGAAUUACUGGGCGUAAAGCGCACGCAGGCGGUUUGUUAAGUCAGAUGUGAAAUCCCCGGGCUCAACCUGGGAACUGCAUCUGAUACUGGCAAGCUUGAGUCUCGUAGAGGGGGGUAGAAUUCCAGGUGUAGCGGUGAAAUGCGUAGAGAUCUGGAGGAAUACCGGUGGCGAAGGCGGCCCCCUGGACGAAGACUGACGCUCAGGUGCGAAAGCGUGGGGAGCAAACAGGAUUAGAUACCCUGGUAGUCCACGCCGUAAACGAUGUCGACUUGGAGGUUGUGCCCUUGAGGCGUGGCUUCCGGAGCUAACGCGUUAAGUCGACCGCCUGGGGAGUACGGCCGCAAGGUUAAAACUCAAAUGAAUUGACGGGGGCCCGCACAAGCGGUGGAGCAUGUGGUUUAAUUCGAUGCAACGCGAAGAACCUUACCUGGUCUUGACAUCCACGGAAGUUUUCAGAGAUGAGAAUGUGCCUUCGGGAACCGUGAGACAGGUGCUGCAUGGCUGUCGUCAGCUCGUGUUGUGAAAUGUUGGGUUAAGUCCCGCAACGAGCGCAACCCUUAUCCUUUGUUGCCAGCGGUCCGGCCGGGAACUCAAAGGAGACUGCCAGUGAUAAACUGGAGGAAGGUGGGGAUGACGUCAAGUCAUCAUGGCCCUUACGACCAGGGCUACACACGUGCUACAAUGGCGCAUACAAAGAGAAGCGACCUCGCGAGAGCAAGCGGACCUCAUAAAGUGCGUCGUAGUCCGGAUUGGAGUCUGCAACUCGACUCCAUGAAGUCGGAAUCGCUAGUAAUCGUGGAUCAGAAUGCCACGGUGAAUACGUUCCCGGGCCUUGUACACACCGCCCGUCACACCAUGGGAGUGGGUUGCAAAAGAAGUAGGUAGCUUAACCUUCGGGAGGGCGCUUACCACUUUGUGAUUCAUGACUGGGGUGAAGUCGGAACAAGGUAACUGUAGGGGAACCUGCGGUUG
rnacentral:rRNA from 1 species